UUGAACGCUGGCGGCAUGCCUUACACCUGCAAGUCGAACGGUAACAGGUCUUCGGAUGCUGACGAGUGGCGAACGGGUGAGUAAUACAUCGGAACGUGCCCAGACGUGGGGGAUAACGAGGCGAAAGCUUUGCUAAUACCGCAUACGAUCUAAGGAUGAAAGCAGGGGACCGCAAGGCCUUGCGCGUUUGGAGCGGCCGAUGGCAGAUUAGGUAGUUGGUGGGAUAAAAGCUUACCAAGCCGACGAUCUGUAGCUGGUCUGAGAGGACGACCAGCCACACUGGGACUGAGACACGGCCCAGACUCCUACGGGAGGCAGCAGUGGGGAAUUUUGGACAAUGGGCGAAAGCCUGAUCCAGCAAUGCCGCGUGCAGGAUGAAGGCCUUCGGGUUGUAAACUGCUUUUGUACGGAACGAAAAGGCUCUGGCUAAUACCUGGGGCACAUGACGGUACCGUAAGAAUAAGCACCGGCUAACUACGUG
rnacentral:rRNA from 1 species